rnacentral:rRNA from 1 species
UACGAAGGGGGGCUAGCGUUGCUCGGAAUCACUGGGCGUAAAGCGCACGUAGGCGGCUUUGUAAGUUAGAGGUGAAAGCCCGGAGCUCAACUCCGGAAUUGCCUUUAAGACUGCAUCGCUAGAAUUGUGGAGAGGUGAGUGGAAUUCCGAGUGUAGAGGUGAAAUUCGUAGAUAUUCGGAAGAACACCAGUGGCGAAGGCGACUCACUGGACACAUAUUGACGCUGAGGUGCGAAAGCGUGGGGAGCAAACAGG